rnacentral:rRNA from 1 species
AUUGAACGCUGGCGGUAGGCUUAACACAUGCAAGUCGAGCGGGGGAAGGUAGCUUGCUACCGGACCUAGCGGCGGACGGGUGAGUAAUGCUUAGGAAUCUGCCUAUUAGUGGGGGACAACAUCUCGAAAGGGAUGCUAAUACCGCAUACGUACUACGGGAGAAAGCAGGGGAUCUUCGGACCUUGCGCUAAUAGAUGAGCCUAAGUCGGAUUAGCUAGUUGGUGGGGUAAAGGGCUACCAAGGCGACGAUCUGUAGCGGGUCUGAGAGGAUGAUCCGCCACACUGGGACUUAGACACGGCCCAGACUCCUACGGGAGGCAGCAGUGGGGAAUAUUGGACAAUGGGGGGAACCCUGAUCCAGCCAUGCCGCGUGUGUGAAGAAGGCCUUAUGGUUGUAAAGCACUUUAAGCGAGGAGGAGGCUACUCUAGUUAAUACCUAGGGAUAGUGGACGUUACUCGCAGAAUAAGCACCGGCUAACUCUGUGCCAGCCGCCGCAGUAA